rnacentral:rRNA from 1 species
AGUAACGCGUGAGGAACCUGCCUCAAAGAGGGGGACAACAGUUGGAAACGACUGCUAAUACCGCAUAAGCCCACAGCUCGGCAUCGAGCAGAGGGAAAAGGAGUGAUCCGCUUUGAGAUGGCCUCGCGUCCGAUUAGCUAGUUGGUGAGGUAAUGGCCCACCAAGGCGACGAUCGGUAGCCGGACUGAGAGGUUGAACGGCCACAUUGGGACUGAGACGCGGCCCAG